rnacentral:tRNA from 1 species
GCCCUGGUGGUGCAGUGGUUUAGUACUUGGCUGCUAACCGAAAGGUUGGUGGUUCAAAUCCACCCAUGGGCU